GGAGGUAGUGACAAUAAAUCACAAUGCGGGACUAUCAGUCUUGCAAUUGGAUUGAGAACAAUGUACAACUCUUAUCGAUAAGCCAUUGGAGGGCAAGUCUGGUGCCAGCAGCCGCGGUAAUUCCAGCUCCAAUAGCGUAUAUUAACGUUGUUGCAGUUAAAAAGCUCGUAGUUGAAGUGUGGGUGAUCGCUGUUGUGAGACUUCGGUCUCUCGACAGUAAGUCACCCCCUUCCAGUAUCCAGUAGUGGGUAUUCAGUUACUUACUAUUGUGUGUUGGUCCUUUACUGUGAGAAAAUUAGAGUGUUCAAAGCAGGCGUUUGCUUGAAUAGAUUAGCAUGGAAUAAUAAUUGAAGGCUUUCGUGUUCGAUUUGAUUGGUUUGUUCAUGGAAGCAAGGUUAAAAGGAACAGUUGGGGGUAUUCAUAUUCACUAGUUAGAGGUGAAAUUCUCGGAUUUAUGGAAGAUGAACA
rnacentral:rRNA from 2 species